ACAACAACAUACGGACCGUGGAUCUAUCGAGCAAUAUCUCCCGCUCGGUGGAAGAUCUUCCCUUCGUCGUUAAGC
rnacentral:pre_miRNA from 1 species